AACGCACAUUGCGCCCCUUGGUAUUCCGAGGGGCAUGCCUGUUCGAGCGUCAUUAUAACCACUCAAGCCUAGCUUGGUAUUGGGGUUCGCGGUCCCGCGGCUCUUAAAAUCAGUGGCGGCGCCAUCUGGCUCUAAGCGUAGUAAUUUUUCUCGCUACAGAGUCCCGGUGGAUGCUUGCCAGCAACCCCCUAUUUUCUUAGGUUGACCUCGGAUCAGGUAGGGAUACCCGCUGAACUUAA
rnacentral:misc_RNA from 1 species